UCCGUGGAACGUAACAAAAGGCGUUCAUUUGCGAAAACAGUGGGUUGGUUGGCCAUUUUCCAAGAAAUUGAAACUAUAUUUUCGUGUGUUUUUGUUUGAAGUCAUAAAGUUCAAGAGUGCCGUGGGAAGCAGUGCAAGAUCUAGUGGUUUAGUGAGCAGGACAUACUCAAAAAUGUUUCACCUGGAGAACAGAUACGACCCAAUUCUUGGCUACAACUACACGUAUUGGCCAGAUUCUAAAUAUUUCAGGAACUAUAGAUUCUCACCACCCAUCAGUUGGUAUGACAACUGGUCCACCAGAUCGCGAGUUUGGUUUCCUUAUUAUUGGUCCACUAGGAGGUUGUUCCAACACUAUUCAGAAUACAGACCAUCUAGCAGAGCACUCAGAGAACAACGGUUGAGAAACAAUCUGUACUUCUGAUUGGACCGGAAAUUAUUUGGAUUGAAGAAUUGAGAUGAUGAAGAUCUUUGAGUUUUGUGAGAUAUAUUUUUUAU